GGUAGAGUGGCUGAGUGUAAUAAGUGGUGGGCUGUAGACCUGCUUACAGGGGUUUAAUUCCUCUCUCUAUCA
rnacentral:tRNA from 2 species